rnacentral:rRNA from 1 species
UACAGAGGUCUCAAGCGUUGUUCGGAUUCAUUGGGCGUAAAGGGUGCGUAGGCGGCGCGGUAAGUCGGGUGUGAAAUCUCGGGAGCUUAACUCCGAAACUGCAUUCGAUACUGCCGUGCUUGAGGACUGGAGAGGAGACUGGAAUUUACGGUGUAGCGGUGAAAUGCGUAGAUAUCGUAAGGAAGACCAGUGGCGAAGGCGGGUCUCUGGACAGUUCCUGACGCUGAGGCACGAAGGUCCAGGGGAGCAAACGGG